CCUACGGGAGGCAGCAGUAGGGAAUCUUCCACAAUGGGCGAAAGCCUGAUGGAGCAACGCCGCGUGGGUGAAGAAGGUCUUCGGAUCGUAAAACCCUGUUGUUAGAGAAGUAAGUGCGUGAGAGUAACUGUUCACGUUUCGACGGUAUCUAACCAGAAAGCCACGGAUAACUACGUGCCAGCAGCCGCGGUAAUACGUAGGUGGCAUGCGUUAUCCGGAUUUAUUGGGCGUAAAGGGAACGCAGGCGGUCUUUUAAGUCUGAUGUGAAAGGCUUCGGCUUAACCGGAGUAGUGCAUUGGAAACUGGGAGACUUGAGUGCAGAAGAGGAAGGUGGAACUCAAUGUGUAGCGGUGAAAUGCGUAGAUAUAUGGAAGAACACCAGUGGCGAAGGCGGCUCUCUGGUCUGUAACUGACGCUGAGGUUCGAAAGCGUGGGUAGCAAACAGGAUUAGAUACCCUGGUAGUC
rnacentral:rRNA from 1 species